AUGUGUCUGUAUAGAGUCGGGUCCCAGGUGAACCAGAACUUCUGCUGUGCCCAUCAGCCAGGAGACGGUUUCAUAACGGUGGCCUUCUGCUUCUUCAUAUCUGACUUUAUCCCUCCUUUAUGGGUUUGUGGGUCCCUGUCCUUAAGACCUACAGACCCUACAGACCAGGACCAGAGACCCUACAGACCGGGACCACCAGAGACCCUACAGACCAGGACCAGAGACCCUACAGACCGGGACCAGAGACCCUACAGACCGGGACCACCAGAGACCCUACAGACCAGGACCAGAGACCCUACAGACCGGGACCACCAGAGACCCUACAGACCAGGACCAGAGACCCUACAGACCGGGACCAGAGACCCUACAGACCGGGACCACCAGAGACCCUACAGACCAGGACCAGAGACCCUACAGACCGGGACCACCAGAGACCCUACAGACCAGGACCAGAGACCCUACAGACCAGGACCAGAGACCCUACAGACCGGGACCAGAGACCCUACAGACCGGGACCACCAGAGACCCUACAGACCAGGACCAGAGACCCUACAGACCAGGACCAGAGACCCUACAGACCGGGACCAGAGACCCUACAGACCGGGACCACCAGAGACCCUACAGACCAGGACCAGAGACCCUACAGACCGGGACCACCAGAGACCCUACAGACCAGGACCAGAGACCCUACAGACCAGGACCAGAGACCCUACAGAUCGGGACCAGAGACCCUACAGACCGGGGCCACCAGAGACCCUACAGACCAGGACCACCAGAGACCCUACAGACCAGGACCACCAGAGACCCUACAGACCGGGACCAGAGACCCUACAGACCGGGACCAGAGACCCUACAGACCGGGACCAUCAGAGACCCUACAGACCGGGACCAUCAGAGACCCUACAGACCGGGACCACCAGAGACCCUACAGACCGGGACCACCAGAGACCCUACAGACCGGGACCAGAGACCCUACAGACCGGGACCACCAGAGACCCUACAGACCACAGCUAA
rnacentral:lncRNA from 1 species